rnacentral:rRNA from 1 species
GACGAACGCUGGCGGCGUGCCUAAUACAUGCAAGUAGAACGCUGAAGAGAGGAGCUUACUCUUCUUGGAUGAGUUGCGAACGGGUGAGUAACGCGUAGGUAACCUGCCUUGUAGCGGGGGAUAACUAUUGGAAACGAUAGCUAAUACCGCAUAACAAUGGAUGACACAUGUCAUUUAUUUGAAAGGGGCAAUUGCUCCACUACAAGAUGGACCUGCGUUGUAUUAGCUAGUAGGUGAGGUAAUGGCUCACCUAGGCGACGAUACAUAGCCGACCUGAGAGGGUGAUCGGCCACACUGGGACUGAGACACGGCCCAGACUCCUACGGGAGGCAGCAGUAGGGAAUCUUCGGCAAUGGGGGCAACCCUGACCGAGCAACGCCGCGUGAGUGAAGAAGGUUUACGGAUCGUAAAGCUCUGUUGUAAGUCAAGAACGGGUGUGAGAGUGGAAAGUUCACACUGUGACGGUAGCUUACCAGAAAGGGACGGCUAACUACGUG